rnacentral:rRNA from 1 species
AUUGAACGCUGGUGGCAUGCUUUACACAUGCAAGUCGAACGGCAGCGCGGGCUUCGGCCUGGCGGCGAGUGGCGAACGGGUGAGUAAUACAUCGGAACGUGCCCAGUAGUGGGGGAUAGCUCGGCGAAAGCCGGAUUAAUACCGCAUACGACCUGAGGGUGAAAGCGGGGGAUCUUCGGACCUCGCGCUAUUGGAGCGGCCGAUGGCAGAUUAGCUAGUUGGUGGGGUAAAGGCCUACCAAGGCGACGAUCUGUAGCUGGUCUGAGAGGACGACCAGCCACACUGGGACUGAGACACGGCCCAGACUCCUACGGGAGGCAGCAGUGGGGAAUUUUGGACAAUGGGCGAAAGCCUGAUCCAGCAAUGCCGCGUGUGUGAUGAAGGCCUUCGGGUUGUAAAGCACUUUUGGCGGGAACGAAAAGGACUGUGCCAAUACCACGGUUCGAUGACGGUACCCGCAGAAUAAGCACCGGCUAACUACGU